rnacentral:rRNA from 1 species
CCUACGGGAGGCAGCAGUGAGGAAUAUUGGUCAAUGGGCGGAAGCCUGAACCAGCCAAGUCGCGUGAGGGAUUAAGGCCCUGCGGGUCGUAAACCUCUUUUGCCGGGGAGCAGAGGUCCGGACGUGUCCGGGCCGGGAGAGUACCCGGAGAAAAAGCAUCGGCUAACUCCGUGCCAGCAGCCGCGGUAAUACGGAGGAUGCGAGCGUUAUCCGGAUUUAUUGGGUUUAAGGGGUGCGUAGGCGGUCAUUUAAUCCGUCGGUCAAAUGUCGGGGCUCAAACCCGGCCUGCCGUCGAAACUGGGUGCCUUGAGUGGGCGAGAAGGAUGCGGAAUGCGUGGUAUAGCGGUGAAAUGCAUAGAUAUCACGCAGAACCCCGAUUGCGAAGGCAGCAUACCGGCGCCCUACUGACGCUGAGGCACGAAAGUGCGGGUAUCGAACAGGAUUAGAUACCCCAGUAGUC